GGAUCCUUCUGGACAAAAUGUCCAGCACAGAGCUGGACCACCACAUCAUAUGGUGGGUGAGCAAUUGGCUCACAGGUUGAGCACAGAGGGUAAUAGAGAAUGGGGUGACAUCAGACUGAUGACCUGUCACAAGUGGGGUUCCACAGGGCUCCAUCUUAGGCCCUGUGCUCUUCAACACCUUCAUAAAUGACUUGGAUGCAGGACUGGAAGGGAUAAUAUGGUCUAUCCUAUUCAUAAAGAGAAAACUUUCCAGGGGCUGCCCUGAGCACUGAUGAGCUUCCAUCCCACCUAAGGUAAUAGUAAUGUUACACCCAGGGACAUGAGGAUUGAACUUGCGAGAGUGACAUAGAGUUUGAGAGUGAUGCUCUGAAACAAAAAGAACAAAGACUAUCUAUUUACACAUGUCAAGUGGGUAAACUAUGGAGAAAUAUUUUGUCCAGUUCCUUGUCUGAAGACCAAAGCAUCUGUAUGCAGAAGGUUUUUUCCAGUUAUGCACGGGCUGUGGAUGACAC